rnacentral:rRNA from 1 species
GCGAGCGGCGGAUGGGUGAGUAACACGCUGGGGAACCUGCCCCUAAGUCUGGGAUACCAUUUGGAAACGGGUGCUAAUACCGGAUAAUAAAGCAGAUCGCAUGAUCAGCUUUUGAAAGGCGGCGUAAGCUGUCGCUAAGGGAUGGCCCCGCGGUGCAUUAGCUAGUUGGUAAGGUAACGGCUUACCAAGGCGACGAUGCAUAGCCGAGUUGAGAGACUGAUCGGCCACAUUGGGACUGAGACACGGCCCAAACUCCUACGGGAGGCAGCAGUAGGGAAUCUUCCACAAUGGACGCAAGUCUGAUGGAGCAACGCCGCGUGAGUGAAGAAGGUUUUCGGAUCGUAAAGCUCUGUUGUUGGUGAAGAAGGAUAGAGGUAGUAACUGGCCUUUAUUUGACGGUAAUCAACCAGAAAGUCACGGCUAACUACGUGCCAGCAGCCGCGGUAAUACGUAGGUGGCAAGCGUUGUCCGGGAUUUAUUGGGCGUAAAGCGAGCGCAGGCGGAAAAAUAAGUCUAAUGUGAAAGCCCUCGGCUUAACCGAGGAACUGCAUCGGAAAACUGUUUUUUCUUGAGUGCA